UCCCUAGUGGCUCAGAUGGUAAGGCGUCUGCUUACAAUGCAGGACACCUGGGUUUGAUCCCUAGGUCGGGAA
rfam:Ovis aries breed Texel chromosome 14, whole genome shotgun sequence.